AUGUCAAUGGCUGACUAUCUCAAACAAAUCAAAGAGCUGGCGGAGAUGCUUGCAGACGCUGGUGCUCCUGUGGAAGAUCGCGACCUUCUUCAUCUACACAUCCUGCCGGGAUUGCCAGAGGAGUAUAAUCCCUUUCGUGCAUGGAUAAACAACAAUCCUCUAAUAAGUUUUUGGGAUGAGUUUCAAGACUUACUGUUGAAGGAGGAAGUACAUCUGGAUGAACAGAGCAGAAGUGCUGCCAUAAAUCAUUAUCAGGAUGGCCGAGAAGAAGACCAUGCCAUCGGGAUCGAUCUGGGAACAACGUACUCCCGAGUAGCCGUGUGGCAGAAGGAUCAUGUGGAAAUCAUACUGAAUGAUCACGGGAACAGGAAGACUGCAUCUUAUGUUGCCUCCGUAGAAGCUGAUGAGACUGUUUUGGUAGGCGAUGCAGCAUUUAACCAAGUCGUCAGAAACACCGCCAACUCAAUUUUUGAUACAAAGAGGUUAAUCGGUAGGAGAUUCAGUGACACCUCUGUUCAAAGUGAUGUGAAGCUCUGGCCAUUCAAGGUCAUUGAAGGCCCAGGCGACAAGCCCAUGAUUUUGGUUACCCACAAUGGCCAAGAGAAACAAUGUUAUGCUGAAGAUAUCACAGCCAUGGUUCUUGAUAAGAUGCGGAAGAUUGCCGAGAACUACCUGGGCUCAACUGUGAAAAGUGCAGUAAUCACUGUCCCUGCUUACUUCGGUGACUCACAGCGUCGGGCAACAAAAGCUGCUGGUCUUUCUGCAGGCAUAAAUGUGAUGCGUAUUAUGAACGAACCGAGCGCUGCGGCCAUUUCUUUUGGCCUUUACAAGAAGGCCGGGUGGAGUAGCCCGCGAAACGUACGUGAUGAUAUUUGAUUUGGGUGGUGGCACUUUAGAUGUGUCCUUGCUUACCAUGAGCACUUCUGGUGACUUUCAAGUCAAGGCAACGGCUGGAGACACUCACCUUGGCGGCCAAGACUUCGAUAACAGAUUGGUGAACUACUGUGCUGAGAAAUUCAAGAGGGAGCAUAAAUUGGACGUUAGUGGAAACAAGAGAGCUCUUAGGAGGUUAAAAAAUGAAUGUGAGAAGGCAAAGAAGAGACUCUCAUUUGAGUCUGACAUUGACGUUGAAAUUGACUGUUUGUGUGAGAAUACUGAUUUCACCGUAACUUUUACUCGUGCCAUAUUUGAACAAGUAAACAUGGAUUUAUUCAUCAAGUGUAUGGAUCCUGUGAAAAAGUGUUUGGCGUAUGCAAAAAUGAACAUAAACGGUGUCGAUGAUGUUCUUCUUGCUGGCGGCUCUUCUAGAAUUCCAAUGGUGCAGCAGCUAUUACAGAAGUUUUUCAAGGGGAAGGAGCUGUGCAAGGGCGUCAAUCCAGAUGAGGCAGUGGCUUAUGGUGCCGCUAUUCAAGCCGCAGCCUUGAGUGGGAAUGGAAAGGGGAAGUUUAUUCAAGACUUCACUCUCAAGGAUGUCACUCCUCUGCCGCUUGUUAUGGAGGGUACAGAUGUUAAAGGUAUGAAAAAAUUAAUGAAUUUGAUUCCAAGAAACACUAUAAUUCCCGUGAGGAAGUGCAGAGAAUUCUGUACCGUUAAGGACAACCAGGUUUUGAUUGACUUCCGCAUAUAUGAAGGUGAGAGUAGCAUACCAGCAAAUCUCAACUUUUUGGCUGAAUGCAGCUUCCAUGGCAUUCCUCCAGCUCCCAAACAUGUUCAUAUAAUUCCAUGUUUUCUUCGAAAUUGAUGCCGACGGUAUCUUGAGUGUCUCUGCUGUCAAUAAGUCCACUGGCCAGAAGUAUGAGAUGAUAAUCAACCGAGACAGGCCGAAGAACCUUGAGGGAGAUGAGACUUAAAAAAUGA